UAGGGAAUUUUCGUCAAUGGGCGCAAGCCUGAACGAGCGAUGCCGCGUGAGUGAAGAAGGCCUUCGGGUCGUAAAGCUCUGUUGCGGGGGAAAAAAGGCAGCAUCAGGAAAUGGGUGCUGACUGAUGGUGCCCCGCCAGAAAGUCACGGCUAACUACGUGCCAGCAGCCGCGGUAAUACGUAGGUGGCGAGCGUUAUCCGGAAUGAUUGGGCGUAAAGGGUGCGCAGGCGGUCCUGCAAGUCUGGAGUGAAACGCAUGAGCUCAACUCAUGCAUGGCUUUGGAAACUGGAGGACUGGAGAGCA
rnacentral:rRNA from 1 species